rnacentral:rRNA from 1 species
AUUGAACGCUGGCGGCAGGCCUAACACAUGCAAGUCGAACGAGUGGCGGACGGGUGAGUAAUGUCUGGGAAACUGCCCGAUGGAGGGGGAUAACUACUGGAAACGGUAGCUAAUACCGCAUACCAUCGGAUGUGCCCAGAUGGGAUUAGCUCGGAGGUGGGGUAACGGCUCACCUAGGCGACGAUCCCUAGCUGGUCUGAGAGGAUGACCAGCCACACGUGACUGGAGACACGGUCCAGACGCCUACGGGAGGCAGCAGUGGGGAAUAUGUCACAAUGGGCGCAAGCCUGAUGCAGCCAGGCCGCGUGUAUGAAGAAGGCCUUCGGGUUGUAAAGUACUUGCAGCGAGGAGGCGUUACUCGCAGAAGAAGCACCGGCUAACUCCGUGCCAGCCGCCGCGGUAAGAC